AUAUGAAACGAUUAAAAAAAUAAAGGGGAUUUAUAGGAAUUAUAUAUUAUUUUAGAAAUCUAAAGAUUUCUUCAAAAUAUUAUGCAAUUCUUAUGAAUCCUUUUUAUUUUGUACUUUUUUUAUAAAAAGUAAGAAUAUGUUGUAUAUAUUGUUACUUAAUUUAUAAAAAUUGUACGAAAAUUUGGUAUUACAUAAUAAAAAUAUUUUUUAUCAUGUUUUACCAGAUUUUCAUCAACAAUAUUGAAUUCUCAAUAUUUUGCAUAUACAUAUAUUUAUUAUUAUAUAUUACUAUUUCUAGUUAAUUAUAUUUUGAAGAAAAGAUACAUAUAAUAUAUAUUAUAUAUAUUGUAAUUCAUAAAUAUAAU